rnacentral:lncRNA from 10 species
AGAACAGCCCCUCCCACCAGAGUUGGUGCUCCAUAAAUGGCAGUUAUUAUUCUUGCUUUUUUUGUGAUUGCUGUUUAUGAGUUUCUGUUUUUGAGCCAUAUCAGUGCCCUUAACAUCUCCUUCUGUGUCCGAGCCAGAUGAUUGGAUCUUUUCCCCAAUCUCUACCCUCCUGUAACAGGAUUCUAGAUCCACAUUCUUUUCCAUGUAAAGUGCAUUUCCUCCCACCGUGGGCAGAGUGUGCUUUCUACAUGACUUGGUUUGGCCAAUGAAAUGUCAUCAGUCAUGACAUUUACUUAUGGUCUGGCUUAUUCUCUUACAUUCCUGAUAAUGUCUAUUGAACAUGUGUGUGCUGGGCAUUGAGCUAAAUGUUCUUACUGGAUCAUCACAACUGUGUAAGGCAGGUACUAUUUUCAUGCCAGUUUUUAGAUUAAAAACUGAGGCCUAGAGAGAUAAUUAACUUGCCCCAAGUCACACUGUAAUGGACCCAGGACUGAACCCAGGCAGUCAGCUUGCCUGACCAUGUCGCUUCACCAUGCUGCCUCACCGCUGGAGGAAGGUGGUAGAAAUUCCUUCUGCCCAAAGACACAAAAGAGAGAAGAAACAUGACUAGUGGAGUCAAUGCGGCAGUGAGCAGCAGGGAUCCUGUCAUUUCUGAGCUGAAGCAUUUCAAUGUUUGUUUAGAACCCUCCACCAUUCUCGCCUGCCACAUGGACUGAGGAGGCUUUGUGUUCCAGAUGGCAAAGCCACAGGGUGGUGGUGUCUCUGUCUGUGUGGAUCGCUGAGCCAGGCCAUGAAGUGAAGCUGCCUUAGAAGUUACCCAGGCCUGCAGCAGGAGCUGAAAUUCAACAUAUUGCCCUAAGAAGCAUCCAAAGCAAUUGUGUAUCUGCAGAUGCUUAUUGUGUCUACUGGGAGAUGGGGUGAGAGUGGAGGCUUUUCUUCCUGUUGAAAGAAGAAAGAAGGUUGUUGGCAUCUGGACUCAUGGAGGAACCUGGAGGAAGAUGAUUGGAUCAUGGAAGCGGUUUCUCCCAUGCUGUUCUCAUGAUAGUGAGUGAGCUCUCACAAGAUCUGAUGGUUUAAAAGUGUGUGGCAGUUGCCCGCUUGUUCUCUGUCUCUCCUGCUCCACCAUGGUAAGACGUGCCACCUUCCCCUCCACCUUCUACCAUGAUUGAAAGUUUCCUGAGGCCUCCUAACCAUUCUUCCUGCACAGCCUGUGGAACUAUCCACACCGCCUAGGGUCAGAGAUGCAGGGAGCUGGCCAAAACGCCUUUCUCUGUGAUAAAGAGGCCACAGCGUUAAAUCCCGUGAGUUCAUCAACAGAACUUUGCAAUUCCUCCAUCGAGAGAUGGCGGCUGUGUCAUCUCUCCUUGAAUCUGGGUGGGCCUUUUGACUGCUCCAACUGAUGGAGUGCAUAUAAUUGACUGUGCAACUUCCAAAAAGCAAGUUAGGAAGGCCACACAGCUUCCACCUGGCUCUCUCUCUCGGGACACAUGCCUUAGGAGCCAUGGACAGCCACGUAAGAAGUCCAGCCCCCUGAAGAUGCCCGGCUGCCAGCACCAUGCAGAGACCACAUAGAGAUGGAGAGAAAUCGCAAGAAGCCCCAGGUGCUCCAGCUCCAGCUGCCUGAGGCUUUCCAGCCCAGACACCAGACAUGUGGAUGGGGAAGGCUUUGCUGGGACUCCAGCUGCAACUGCAGGAGAGACCCCAUGCAAGAGCCACCCAGCGGAGCCCAGCCAACCCCCAGAACCUGGAA